rnacentral:rRNA from 1 species
ACGGCUCAGUAACACGUAGUCAACUUACCCUAUGGACGAGGAUAAUCUCGGGAAACUGAGCAUAAUACUCGAUAGAUCAUAAUGCCUGGAAUGGUUUAUGAUUAAAAUGAUUCGUCGCCAUAGGAUGGGACUGCGGCCUAUCAGCUUGUUGGUGAGGUAAUGGCCCACCAAGGCGAUUACAGGUACGGGCUCUGAGAGGAGAAGCCCGGAGAUGGGUACUGAGACAAGGACCCAGGCCCUAUGGGGCGCAGCAGGCGAGAAAACUUUGCAAUGUGCGAAAGCACGACAAGGUUAAUCCGAGUGAUUUCUGCUAAAGAAAUCUUUUGCAAGUCAUAAAACCACUAGUGAAUAAGGGGUGGGCAAGUUCUGGUGUCAGCCGCCGCGGUAAAACCAGCACCUCAAGUGGUCA